UGCCGCGUGCAGGAUGAAAGCCCUACGGGUUGUAAACUGCUUUUAUACAGGAAGAAACACUCCGACGUGUCGGAGCUUGACGGUACUGUAAGAAUAAGGAUCGGCUAACUCCGUGCCAGCAGCCGCGGUAAU
rnacentral:rRNA from 1 species